rnacentral:rRNA from 1 species
AACGAACGCUGGCGGCGUGGAUUAGGCAUGCAGGUCGAACGCGAAAGAGGGAGCAAUCCCUCAAGUAGAGUGGCGAACGGGUGAGUAACGCGUGAAGAACCUGCCUUCAACAGGGGGAUAACACUCCCAACGGGGUGCUAAUACCGCAUGAGACCACGGGUCCGCAUGGACCUGAGGUCAAAGGUGGCCUCUGCUUGCAAGCUACCGGUUGAAGAUGGCUUCGCGUCCCAUAGCUAGUUGGCGGUGUAAAAGACCACCAAGGCGACGAUGGGUAGCUGGUCUGAGAGGAUGGUCAGCCACACUGGGACUGAGAUACGGCCCAGACUCCUACGGGAGGCAGCAGUCGAGAGGCUUUGGCAAGUGGGGAAACCCUGACCAAGCGACGCCGCGUGGAGGAUGAAGG